AAACUUAAAGGAAAUUGACGGGGCCCGCACAAGCGGUGGAGCAUGUGGUUUAAUUCGAUGCAACGCGAAGAACCUUACCAGGGUUUGACAUGCUGUGGUAGAAACCUGAAAGGGUGACGACCUUCGGUUUUCCGAGGGAGCCAGCACAGGUGCUGCAUGGUUGUCGUCAGCUCGUGUCGUGAGAUGUUGGGUUAAGUCCCGCAACGAGCGCAACCCUUACCCUUAGUUGCGACCAGGUAAUGCUUGAGCACUCUAAGGGGACUGCCGGUGACAAACCGGAGGAAGGUGGGGAUGACGUCAAGUCCUCAUGGCCCUUAUAGGUGGGGCUACACACGUCAUACAAUGGCUGGUACAAAGGGUUGCCAACCCGCGAGGGGGAGCUAAUCCCAUAAAGCCAGUCGUAGUCCGGAUCGCAGUCUGCAACUCGACUGCGUGAAGUCGGAAUCGCUAGGUAAUCGUGGAUCAGAAUGUCACGGUGAAUACGUUCCCGGGUCUU
rnacentral:rRNA from 2 species